rnacentral:lncRNA from 1 species
GGAAGGGAGGGGAUCCUGAAAGUUUGAAGGGGGACAUAUGGGUAGAUCACAAUGAAGCUUAGUCUUCUUUGUCAAGAAGCAGCCUUUCUACACCCUGCCUGAGGAGAUUAGCCUGAAGAAACUGUAAUGGCUUUCCCUGAGGUAACUGCCGUGAAAGAUACUGCUGAUUCUCCUUAGGGCCCAAGGCCAGUACUCCUCUUUGCUUCUAGACCUAUAAUUAGACUCAACCACAGCAGGCCCCCAAGGGUGAGGUAGAAAAUGUAAGCUGUGAGAAGGUGUGCCAUAUGAGAAAAGAACUGCACGAUGUUUCCAGUUUAUACAGACAGAAACCCGGGGAAUUCAUGUGGGAAUGCAUUGUAAGAAUGUAAGAUUGUAGUGGAAGAAAUAUAAAGUUGAAUCUAGCCAAAUUUCUUGAUAUGAACCACUAAUCAAAUAUUUGGGUUAGCUUGAGUGGUUAGAAAAGGCUUGGUUUGGUUGGUGGGUUCACAGAAACAUGAACCUGAAGGUGGCCUGUGCCAAAUAAUGCUGAAUGUUAGAACUGACUUGUAACACUGUAUCAUAAGGUAUCCAAAGGCUUAAGAAAAGUGGAAUGUUCGAAAGAUCAUGUAAGAAAGAUCUCCUCAACUGACCUGAUAGGGUCCGUAAGACACAGUUUUCACCACAACUUUGAGAAAUAGAUUUUUGAAGGAUGUCCCAGCCUCCUUGAAGAGCUCUCUCAUCUCUCUUCAGGUCAGAAAGUACAGUGGGAACUGACAUCAUCAAAAUGGGAUCUCAGGCUGGCACAGUGGUUCACACAUGUAAUAUCAGCACUUUGGGAGGCCAGGUGGGUGGAUCACUUGAGGUCAGGAGUUUGAGACCAGCCUGGCCAACAUGGUGAAACCCCGUCUCUACUAAAAAUCCAAAAAUUAGCCGGGCAUGGUGGCAGGUGCCUAUAAUCCCCGCUCCUCGGGAGGCUGAUGAAGGAGAAUCGCUUGAACUCGGGAGGCGGAGGUUGCAGUGAGCCGAGAUCGCACCACUUCACUCCAGCCUGGGCAACAGAGCAAGACUCCAUCCCCAUGCCGCAAAAAAAAAAAAAAAAAAAAAAAAAAAAAAAGGAUCUCUAAGUGCAAUGGGUAUAACAAUAUCUCAGGGUGGCAGGGGCCAAGUGGUGGCUCUUCAUUGCCUCAGACAAGGUGGGUGUGGCUACUGUAAAGGACAGCAGAGCCAAGGUAGUAGUAAAAAAAUCUGAUUCACCAAAACCCAUGGGGUUUUCCAGUUUAUCCUGAUGUCCCUAGAAAAGGAAUAGGGCUAGGCAAGUGGCUCACACUGUAAUCCAAGCACUUUGGGAGGCCGAGGUGAGUGGAUCACGUGAGGUCAUGAGUUCGAGACCAGUCUGGCCAACAUGGCGAAACCCCAUCUCUACUAAAAAUACAAAAAUUAACCAGGCAUAGUGGUGGGCACCUGUAAUCCCAGCUACUUAGGUGGCUGAGGCAGGAGAAUAGCUUGAAUCCAGAAGGUGACAGUUGCAGUGAGCCAAGAUAGCACCACUGCACUACAGCCUGCACCACAGAGUGAGACUUCAUCUCACAAAAAAAAAAAAAGAAAAGAAAAGGAAUAGAUGGGCAGUCUACUAAAUUAGUACUUGAUCUAUAUUAGCAGAAGAGAGCUGUAUCUAGUGAACAGAAGUCUAGCAGGAAUCACCAAAACAGACAGACUGAGCUCCUUAACCCGUUUCCCAACUUGAGCUAAUUUAUAGACCCAGAACUCCUUGAAUGAAAGGGAGGCUGGGUCCUUUUGAGGAGAAUGCCUGGUACACGGUUAAAACUUUAUAUUGUUAAUCUUUCUCUCUCAGCCUUCCACAAAGGAACUCAUGGCCUGUUAUCAAGGUGACUGUGCAAUGAGGAAAAGAAAAUGAUGAAACUUUUGGAGAGUUACUGACUGAACACCAGCUGUGAAUUGAUACUAAUUUCUGGAGACAAAACAUGAGUUUGUCCACCAGUCAGUGUCAGAGCUUAUGGAGGUCAGAAGAUCAAUGGAGUUUUAGCUUAGAUCCAUCUUAUAGUGACCCAGUGGGUCGCCAAACCCAUCCUGCAGUUACUUCUCCAGUUCCAGAAUAAAUAAUUGGAUAGAAAUAGUCAGCAACUGGCAGAAUUCCCAUAUUGGUUUACUGACCUCUAAAGCGAGAGCUAUUAUAGUAAGAAAAUACCAAAAGGAAGCCAAUAGAACUGCCUCUACUUUGAAAAAUAGCAAAUUAAAACCCAUAUCUUAUUUCUGGAUGGAUUGCAAACAUUAAUGCCAACAUCAGGAUGCAGAGGUAACAAUUCCCACCGCACCCUCACUCAACUUGCCUAUUUGCCUGUGUGGAAAAGAGAUGGAUCUUGGAGAAUAACAACAGAUUAUCCAGGAACAGAAUCAAGUGAACUUAAAUUGCAGUUGCUGUUUCAGAUGUGAUUUAAUUGCUUGAGCAAAUUAACACAUCCCUUGGUACCUGGUGUGCAGCCAUCGAUUUGUCAAAUGCUUUUUUCUUGAUAUCUGAUAACAUAGACAAGCAGAAGCAGUUUGUCUAGCUGGCAAGGCCACCGAUAAACCUGCACUUGAACUCGCUUGAACUCGGGAGGCACUAUCCUGCCUCUAGGGUAUAUCAACUCUCUAAACUUAUAUUUAGUCCAUAUAAAUUAAUUCAGCUAAAAUUUAGUCCACAGGGACUUUGAUUGCCUUUCCCUUCUACAAGAUAUCACACGGGCCUAUUACAGACGAGUAUUAUGGCGAUUGGACCUGCGAAGCAGGAAAUAGCAACUGCUGUAGACGUAGUUGUAAGACAAUUGCAUGUCCAAGGAUGAAAAAUGAAUCUAGAAAAAUGCCACGGCCUUCUACUUCAGUGAAAUUUCUGGGGGUCCAGUGGUGUACAGUAGGGCAAGAUAUCCCUUCUAAGAUGAAGGAUAAGUUGUUUCAUCUGGCUUCUCCUACAACUGCAAAAGAAGCACAACACUUAUAAGGCCUCUUUAAAUUUUGGAGACAACAUAUUCUUUAUUUGGGUAUGGUACUCCAGCAUUUACUGGGUGACUUGAAAAAACUGCUAGUUUUAACUGAGGUGUAUAAAAAGAAAAGGCUCUGAAACAGGUCCAGUUUGCCGUGCAAACUGCUCUGCCACUUGGAUCAUAUGAUUCAGAAGAUGCAAUGGUGUUUGAUGUGUCAGCAGCAGAAAGAGAUAUUGUUUGAAGACUUUUGCACACUUAUGGGGAAAUACAGUGGAUGCCUUAUAUUUUGGAGCAAAGCCCUGAAAUCCUCUGUGCGUUACUGCUCCCCUUUUGAGAAACAGUUUUUAGCUUGCUACCAAGCCUUAAACUGAACACUUAGCUAUGGGCAACCAAGUAACCAUAUGACCAGAGCUUUCUCUCACAUAUUGGAUGUUGUCUGUUCUACAAGCCAUAAAGUUGGGAAUGCACAAAAAUAUUGCAUUAUUGUAUGUGGAAGUCCUAUAUAUAAAAUUAGGCUUAAGUAGGCCCUGGAGGCACAAGUUUAAUCAGGAAGUGAGCCAAAUAUUCAUGACCCCAAUUCUUGCUGCACUACUUACUCUGUCUCCUAGUCUGCAGAUAUGGCCUUAUAACCAGUUCCCUACAACUAGUUGACUGAGGAAGACAAAACUUGAGCUUGGUUUAGUGAUGGUUCUGCACAAUAUGCAGACACUACCCAAAAGUGGAUGGUUGAAGCACUAUAGCCCAUUGUGGACAUUCCUGAAGACAGUGGAGAAGGAAAACCAUCCCAGUGGGUGGAAAUUUGAGUAGUGUACCCAGUUGUUUAUUUACUCAGAAGGAGAAAUGGCCAGAGGUUUAAGACUAUAUUAAUUCAUAGGCUAUAGCCAAUGGGUUGGCUGAAAGAUCAGGAGCUUGGAAAAAACAUUGUUGGAAAAUUGCUGAGGUAUGUGGAUGGAGACCCUCUAAGUGGGCACCAAAUCUGAAGAUAUCUAUGUCUUAUGUAAAGGCUCACCACGGGUUGCUUCACUAGAGGAGGGUUUUAUUAAUCAAGUGAAUAGAAUGAUCCAUCCCGUCAAUACCAGUCAGCUUCAUUUCCCAGCCAUUCUUGUCAUUACUCAAUGGUGACAGUUACGCAUGGGCUUACCCAUGCAUGGGCUCAGCACUAUGUCUACUCACUAAGGCCAACCUUGCUAUGGCCACUGUUGAGUGCCCAGUCUACCAGCAGAAGAGACCAACACUGAGUGCUUUAUAUGGACUCAUUCGUUAAGGUAAUCAUCCAGGUAACCUAGUGGCAACUUAAUUGCAUUGGACCACUUCCACCAUGAUACAGGUGGUGGUUUUUUCUUAAAGAAAUAGACACUUAGUCUGGAUAUGGAUUUGCCUUUCCUGAAUGCAAUGUUUCUGCCAAAACUAUGAGCUUACAGAAUGAUCAUAUUCCCUGCCAUUCUGAAGCAGCUAGCUUGAUAGAAUGAUGAAAUAACAUGGUGAAGACUCAGUUAUAAUAAUAGUUGGGUGGAAAUAAAUUGAAAAACUGGGGCAGGGACUAGGACAUCCUCCAGGAUGCUGUAUGUACUCUAAAUUAAUGUUCAAUAUAUGCUGCUAUUACUACCAUAGUCAUAAUUCAAAUAACCAAAAUUGAAGGCAGGAAAAUGGGAGUGGUUCCACUUACUAUUAGCCCUAGUGUUUUACCAGCAAUUUUUAAAAACAUCUCUAAGACCUUCAGUUUUUCUAGUCUAGAGAUUCUAGUUUUUAAGGAAUAAAUGGUUCUACCAGAAGACAAAACAUGAUCCCACUGAACUAGAAAUUGAGACUGCCACACAAACAGUUUGGAUUACUCAUGCCUCUGAAAGAACAAUAAAAGAAUGAGGUUACUAUAUUUAUUACAGUUUGGCCAUGAUAACCAAGGAAAAAAUGGGCUUCUAGUACACAAUGGAGGUAAUGAAGAAUAUCUCUAGAACACAAAAGAGUCCUUGGGGAAACUCAUAGUACUAGCAUGUCUUGUAGUUAAUGUCUAUGGAAAAGUAACAGAAGUCAAUUUAGGUAAGAUUUCUAAUGACCCAAACCCUUUAGGAAUGAAGGUAGAAUCACCCCCUCUGGCACAAAACCAUGACCAGCUAAGAUGCUUGUUGAGGGCAAAGGGAAUAUUGAAUGGGUGUGGGAAAAUAUAGUAUUAUAGUGUAGUUAUCAAUAUCAGCUAGGACCAUAUGAUCAGUUGCAGAAAUGAAGACUAUAAUAGUUAUGAGUAUUUUCCUUAUUUUUUGUGAAUGUUUGUUUUGAACUAAAUAUUUGUUUAGUUGUUGUGAACUAAAUAUAUUUGCUUUCCUCUUAUUCACUUGUUAUCUAAUAUAAGACAUAAGAAUGAUAACUAACUUUAUAUUACAGAAGAGUGAACAUCACCCGAGGACUUUGCAUUGUCUUCUGGGGAAAGGGGAGUUUCACUUUUGUCACCCAGGCUGGGGAGCAAUGGCGCGACCUCGGCUCACUGCAACCUCUGCCUCCCAGGUUCAAGCUAUUCUCCUGCCUCAGCCUCCGGAGUAGCUGAGAUUACAGGCGCACGCCACCACGCCCAGCUAAUUUUUGUGUGUAGAGAUGGGGUUUCACCAUGUUGGCCAAAUUGGUCUCAAACUCCGGACCUCAGAUGAUGACGCCCUCUUCGGCCUCUCAAAGUGCUGGGAUUACAGGCGUGAGCCACCGCGCCGGCCUUUUUUGAAUCUUUACGCAGCGUAAGACAGCAGCAGCUUAAGUUUGAGCGCUAAUGGAAAACACAUCUAUUCUUUGCUGACCCCUAGUGUCCACAGCAAGUAAGCGUGGAAUCUAAAAAUCCCAAAGGAAAAACAUGGCAGUUUGAGAAAUGACAUUUUGUUUCAUUCAAAACAAGAAAGAAAGAAAAAAUGCGUUCCAAAAUAAAAUAAUUCACCUCCAGUAAAUUAUAUAGUUAGCACAGAAACAUACAUAAAGAAUGAAACAGAUAUUUUCAAAUUCAGCUUCUGCUUUUGAUAGAGGGUAAAUCUGAGGAAGACUUUUCAGGGCUAUGGAGCACAAUCUGAAUUGUUUUGUGGGAACCACUUCUUUCUCUCUGGCUACACUGGCCUCAAAUCUGUUCUACAAGCAUGUGAAGAUAAUCUUUGGGUUUUCAAAUCCUUCCAGCACUACCCGACCACCACUCUGGGCAGCAUCACCGCCAUCACCAGGACCAACAGCCUUGUCGACAUGACCACCCGCUGGGAGCAAGAAACAGGUGGUCUCCCCUCCAUGAGGCUGUGAGGACAAAUAAAUGUUACCUAAGCAAAGUGAAAGAGACAGAGACAGGCACAGAAUUCUUUCUUUCUUAGACCAAUCAAAAUCACACAUUUUUGCUUCCCUUAUGGUGAACUGAAGCAAUCACUCAGUAAUUGUCUGCCCUAACUACAGUUUACAAGGCUGUCUUUUUUUUUUUUUUUUUUUUUAAGACAGUGUCUCAUUCUGUAGCCCAGGUUAGAGGAAGCUGAGGUUUAAGACAGCUUAAACCUCUACCCUGGGCAACAACUAUGAUCACAGUGGUGUUAACAUAACUCACUGCAGCUUCAAAUCCCUGGGCUUGAGCUAUCCCCCUGCAUCAGCCUUCCAUGUAGCUGGGACUGCAUGCACCUGUCACCACAUCCGGCUUAUUAUUAUUAUUAUUAUUAUUUUUUUUUAGAGACACAGUCUCUAUGUUGCCCGGGCUGAUCUCAAACUCCUAGCUUCAAGCCAUCCUCCUCCCUCUGCCUCCCAAAUGCUAGGAUUACAGAUGCGAGCCACUGCACCUGGCCUAAGGCUUUCCUUUUUGAGAGAGGGAUCUUUACAAUUCAGCCAAUUAAGUUUUCUUCACCAUUUUCUCUGCUUGUGGAUAAUCUCUUUUUGCAAUUGGAAGCCCUCUGAGGGUUUACAUGGAACAUCACACCACGUGAAAUUAUCAACCACUAGGCUAUAUUUUUUCCAUGGUUUCAAAAAUAGAGAAAGAAAAUGAAGCCUAUUGUUCUUGCAUGUUUGUUUGUUUAGGGUUUUUGUUUAUUUUUUUCCCAUAAGAUAAGUAGCAUCUAUGAUUUUCAGUCUCUUUGCUUCUUUGUACUUCAUACCAUCCUCCAUUUAAUUGCCACAAUCUGAAUUCCCAUUUAUUUAUUUUUAAGAUGGAGUUUUGCUCUUGCUGCCCAGGCUGGAGUGCAAUGGUGAUAUCUGCACUCACUGCAACCUCUGCCUCCCAAGUUCAAGCGAUUCUCUUGUCUCAGCCUCCUGAGUAGUUGGGAUUACAGGCAAGCACCACCAUGCCCGGCUAAUUUUUUGUAUUUUUAAUAAAGAUGGGGUUCCACCAUGUUGGCCAGGCUGGUUUCGAACUCCUGACUUCAGGUGAUCCACCCGCCUCAGCCUCCCAAAGUGCGGCAAUUACAGGCAUAAGCCACCACACCGGGCCAUCACAAUCUGAAUUCUUAAAAUACUCUUAAUUCAAAUAUUUAUUCUCUUCAUUGGAUGCCGAGUUCAGUCAGCUCAUAGAUGUUUUUCCAAAAGUGUUUGUCUGAUUUUAAAUCUUCAAAUAAACCAUUUUGUUUCUGAAUUAAUAAGAACAUUUGUCCUAAUUAAUUUAUCUAAUUCUGAACCAAGAUGUUGUCCCUUGGGUAUUCUAGGAUACGUUGAACCAUGAAUGUUCAGGUUGAUUGUUUUAUCAUAUGUCUAUGUAUUUAUUGUCUCAAUUACAUGCAAUUCUUUCUUUGGGAACUUUGAUAAAUGGCCCAAAGACAUUCAUGCUUGGAAAUGGGAAAAUUUUUAAUGUCUUUCCUCUCUUGUGUGUUUGUCUAGUAGGAUGGAUAUUUUGAAUAUAAAAACUGUUUUUAGAGGUAGUGGAAACGACUUUUAAUUAAACUAAACUCUUCAAAUAUUUUGAAGGAUAUGUGUACAUUUAAGUUUGUUUGCUGAGAAGUCUGUUUGUGUUUAGAAGUCUGCCAGGAUCAAAAGAAGUAAAUACAA